UAGGUGGCAGUCUCGCUGAUCACUUCCCGGAAAGUUUACACAACAGGACAAUGCUCCAUGCUACACAGCGAAGUCAAUCAAGGUGUGGAUGAAGGACCACCAGAUCAAGACCCUGUCAUGGCCAGCCCAAUCUCCAGACCUGACCCCCAUUGAAAACCUCAGGAAUGUGAUCAAUAGGAAGAUGGAUGGUCACAAGCCAUCAAUCAAAGCUGCUUGAGUUUUUGUACCAGGAGUGGCAUAAAGUAACAGCAUGUGAAA